UACUUGGUCAGUCUUGGUGGC
rnacentral:misc_RNA from 1 species